rnacentral:rRNA from 1 species
UUCGCAAUGCCCGAAAGGGUGACGAAGCGACGCCGCGUGGGUGAGGAAGGCCCUCGGGUUGUAAAGCCCUGUCAGGAGUUAAGAAAUGUAGAUUCGCUAAUAUCGGGUCUAUAUGACAAAGGCUCCAAAGGAAGCCACGGCUAACUCUGUGCCAGCAGCCGCGGUAAUACAGAGGUGGCAAGCGUUGUUCGGAAUUAUUGGGCGUAAAGAGCACGUAGGUGGAUUUGUAAGUCAGAUGUGAAAGCCUUCUGUUCAACGGAAGAAUUGCAUCUGAAACUACAAACCUUGAGUGUAGGAGGGGAGAAUGGAACUUCUGGUGGAGCGGUGAAAUGCGUAGAUAUCAGAAGGAACGCCGGCGGCGAAAGCGAUUCUCUGGCCUAUUACUGACACUCAGUGUGCGAAAGCUAGGGGAGCAAACGGGAUUAGAUACCCCGGUAGUCCUAGCCGUAAACGAUGGGCACUAAGUAGAGGGGUUUU